rnacentral:rRNA from 1 species
GGUUAAAAAGCUCGUAGUUGGGUUUCUCGGAUAACGCGCCUGGCCCGCUUUUGUGAGUGCCGGUGCGCGUUUGCCAUCCUUCUAGAAAACGUUUCUACCCGGGCAACUGGGCCGGACUCGCGAUCUAGAUCUUUUACUUUGAAAAAAUUAGAGUGUUUAAAGCAGGCUUUUGCUGUGAAUACAUUAGCAUGGAAUAAUAAUCUAGGACUUCGGUUCUAUUUUGUUGGUUUCUAGUACUGAAGUAAUGAUUGAUAGGGAUAGUUGGGGGUGCUAGUAUUGGCCGGCCAGAGGUGAAAUUCUUGGAUUCGGUCAAGACUAACUUAUGCGAAAGCAUUCACCAAGGAUGUCUUCUUUAAUCAAGAACGAAAGUUGGGGGAUCGAAGACGAUCAGAUACCGUCGUAGUCUCAACCAUAAACUAUGCCAACUAGGGAUGGGUGAACGUUGUUUUUUUGACUUCAUCUGCACCUUAUGAGAAAUCAAAGUCUUUGGGUUCCGGGGGGAGUAUGGUCGCAAGGCUGAAACUUAAAGGAAUUGACGGAAGGGCACCACCAGGAGUGGAGCCUGCGGCUUAAUUUGACU